CCUUCCUCUCUUUCUCUCUCAAUCCACUCCUCUCUCUGAGCCUUCCUCCAGUCGGCCCCACCGCCGCCUCUCCACCCAAAUCCGCGCCUCCAAGGCUGCUAUGCCAAGAUCCAGAUCCAGGCUGCAGGGCGCAGUGGGAGGCCUUGGGCGCCAGGUCCCAUGCGAGCGAUGUGGGGUGGCGGAGCUGACGCGCUUCAGGCGGAGUGCGGCAGGCGAUUGAGGCAUGCAACUGCUUCGGGCGGUGCGGAUUUUGGUGGCCGGUGGCACGCAUUUGCUUUAGGGGAUGUGGGUUUUGGCGGCCGGCGGCGCGCUGGUUCGACAUGCCUACAUGAGAGUAUGAGACCGAUGCGUGUCGCGCGGGAUGUGGGUUUCGGCUCCACGGCAGCGCGUCCAUGGCAUGACUCAGGGCGCGGGCGAGGUCCACGGUAAGCCCAGGGCACGAGCGGGUCCGUGGCUGGAAUUGCGAGCAGGAGAAGGGAGACGCGGUAAUCUGUACAGGAAGGGGAGAAGGAGGGCAAUGAUCAGAUGUGGAUGUUAUUUUUACAUGUGCAAUGUUCCAGUUGCGUGCUUCUGUGACUGAAUUGUUGUAGUUCUUCCAAUUAGUGUGAAAUCAGAUUUGGAUGAGAGACGUGGAUGAGAUUUUUUAUUGUUUCUGAUUGCUUGUGCAAUUUCUAAAGUAAUGAGUCUUUUUUGAA